AUCCAAGCCCGGGCCCCUCUGGCAGUUCAGUCGAACUGCGAUGUCGGAUUGGACUU
rfam:Bradyrhizobium lablabi strain CCBAT 23086 scaffold32, whole genome shotgun sequence.